UGCUAUUGCCACCGACUACAUGUUUCCAUCCCCACCGACUCUCAUAUCUUUCCUAUUCAGUUCUUCAAUUCUUUGAUUUUGCGUCAUAAAUCGAACCCAUAGGGCUUCUGGAUUUUAUUGGGUCACCAUCACCCAUCCGCCCUCGAUGUCACAUGUUCCUUCCCCUCUGUCGAGUUCGUGCCAUCUGAGUCGUCGUCAGUGGCUGCUGCUUUUAUCCCUAAUUUUGGAAAUUGAAAUUAAAUAUUCAAGAUGCGUCGUACUCCAACAGGAAAGGUCCGUCUAAUUCAACUCAAAUUUGUCACUCGAUAUUCCUUCAGUCCUCUAUAUGUAAAUCAGGAUUCGUAUUUUCAUAUUUCGCUGCUAUAGCUUGCAUCUUCUUUACUGAUUCCGAUUGUCAUCUCCACCAUUGCUCCUACGCCUUUGUUCAUCCAAAAAAACACAACAACGAUUAUCUGGUGUACAUCAUAAGAGGUUUGGGUUUAUUGCUAGCCUUUGUUCUUUUUUUUGUUCGUUUCCAAGUUUUUGGUUCUUCGUUUUGUUGUCUCUCCGUUAAAUUGAACAUGAUUUUUGGACGUUUCUCUUCAAUCGAUGGAAACCCGGUCGCAUGCCACACACCUUCUCGCCACUUUGUUAACGAUCAUCGCCUCUUACAAGCAUGCCUCCAGUUCAGAUUGUAAAUCAUGAAUGAUAUGUUAGAAUUACUAUUGAGUACAAGAGCUACUCGAGUAGAGAUUAAUCUGUCCACUACUGUAAUAAAGAUAACCAACAAGAUAACACUAUAAAGGAGGAAUAUAAAGCGAUUGAAGGUGCUAGAAAAAGCAUGCAGCUGGGUUGCUCCAAACCUGGAGCCAAAACAGUGCACAGGACUGCAACCGUUUCAGUUAAAAAGCGUGGUCAUAUAUGAAAAGGAAAUACAAAGGGAGGUGGAAGAAAGAAAGAGGUUGAAAGAGGAAGCGGUUAACAUGAUAUUGUCUAAGGCUCAUCCAAUAUUAAAAAAGCAAGAAAAAACACUUUUCGUCACUUUCCAAAUGAAAUACAUGUAUUACUUUU